AUGGAGGGGGCGCCGAGGGCGGUGCCGUCCCGGCGCGGCGGCGUCACGCUGGCGGAGCAGCUCGCCGCGUCCUCCAACCUCCGGGACCUUCUCAAGCUCCGCGACGACGACGGCGAGGGCGACGGCGCGCGGCCCGCCAGGCGCCGCACGCUCCUCGACGUCAUCCGCGGCCCCGAGGACGACGCCGCUCCCCCCUCCUCCACGCGCGCCGCGGAGCCCGCGGUGACCGUGGCGGGAGCGUUGCCGGGGGCGGCGUCGCCCGGGCAGGGGGAGGAGCGGCGGGUGUCGCUGAUGGCGCUGCUGGAGCAGGCGGAGCGGCAGUGGACGACGGCGGCGGCGCGCGCCGGGGCGUGGACGCGCGUGGACCAGGAAGCGGCGGCGGAGGAGGGGGAGGCGGGGAGCGGGAGGGGUGUGGGCGGGCGGUGCUGCGUGUGCAUGGCGCGGCGCAAGGGCGCGGCCUUCGUCCCCUGCGGCCACACCUUCUGCCGCGCCUGCGCCCGCGAGGUCCGCGCCGGCCGCGGCCGCUGCCCGCUCUGCAACGCCGCCAUCCGCGAGGUCCUCAACCUCUUCUGA
rnacentral:rRNA from 1 species